rnacentral:lncRNA from 10 species
GAACCUUGUGACUUUGGCCAGGCACCAAUCAUCUGCCUCCUUCUGUGCCUGCCUGGCUGCCCCUACCCUGGGGCUCCCUCCUAGCCCCCACCUCACCUACUGGCUCACUGAGACAGAGCCAAACAUGAAAGGGAAGGUGACGGCCUGGCCAUAGGGCCCAGGAAAAUGCAGGAAAACACAAACCCUGACCUCAGGGAGCUCCCAGUUUGACAGUGGAGACAGAGAGGCCCUGCAUCAAGUAGAAAAACAACCCCCACUGCUCUCAAGCACACAGCAAUGAAGAUAUGUAUCCUUGGUGCUACAGGCAAAUGCUGACGAUACGACAGUGAAUACAACAUGAAAAAACAAGCACACUUCUCACCCCUAUGGAGCUUUAUUCUGGUCAGGCAGAAGGAGAAGGAAAUGUAAACAUGCAAGGUCAGGUACUGCUGUGAAGCAAAAUAAAGCUGUGGGUACUGUGCGAAG